rnacentral:misc_RNA from 1 species
GAAAUGUGAUAAGUAAUGUGAAUUGCAGAAUUCAGUGAAUCAUCGAAUCUUUGAACGCACAUUGCGCCCCCUGGUAUUCCGGGGGGCAUGCCUGUUCGAGCGUCAUUUCACCACUCAAGCCUCGCUUGGUAUUGGGCGACGCGGUCCGCCGCGCGCCUCAAAUCGACCGGCUGGGUCUUUCGUCCCCUCAGCGUUGUGGAAACUAUUCGCUAAAGGGUGCCGCGGGAGGCCACGCCGUAAAACAACCCCAUUUCUAAGGUUGACCUCGGAUCAGGUAGGGAUACCCGCUGAACUUAAGC